rnacentral:rRNA from 1 species
UACGGGGGGAGCAAGCGUUGUUCGGAUUUACUGGGCGUAAAGGGCGCGUAGGCGGCGUGACAAGUCACUUGUGAAAUCUCCGGGCUUAACCCGGAGCGGCCAAGUGAUACUGUCGUGCUAGAGUGCGGAAGGGGCUACUGGAAUUCUCGGUGUAGCGGUGAAAUGCGUAGAUAUCGAGAGGAACACCUGCGGCGAAGGCGGGUUGCUGGGCCGACACUGACGCUGAAGCGCGAAAGCCAGGGGAGCGAACGGG